rnacentral:rRNA from 1 species
UCGAGGAUCUUCGGCAAUGGGCGAAAGCCUGACCGAGCGACGCCGCGUGUGCGAUGAAGGCCUUCGGGUUGUAAAGCACUGUCGAGGGAGAGAAAAGCCGCAAGGUUUGAUCGAUCUCUGGAGGAAGCACGGGCUAAGUUCGUGCCAGCAGCCGCGGUAAGACGAACCGUGCGAACGUUGUUCGGAAUCACUGGGCUUAAAGGGUGCGUAGGCGGGCGAGUAAGUCAGGGGUGAAAUCCCACGGCCCAACCGUGGAAGUGCCUCUGAUACUGCGAGUCUAGAGGGAAACAGGGGCAUGCGGAACUUCCGGUGGAGCGGUGAAAUGCGUAGAUAUCGGAAGGAACACCGGUAGCGAAAGCGGCGUGCUGGAUUUCUACUGACGCUGAGGCACGAAAGCCAGGGGAGCAAACGG